rnacentral:rRNA from 1 species
UACAGAGGUGGCAAGCGUUGUUCGGAAUUACUGGGCGUAAAGGGCGAGUAGGUGGCCAUCUAAGUCAGACGUGAAAUCCCCCGGCUCAACCUGGGAACUGCAUUGGAAACUAACGGGCUCGAGUGUGGCAGAGGGGGGUGGAAUUCCACGUGUAGCAGUGAAAUGCGUAGAGAUGUGGAGGAACACCGAUGGCGAAGGCAGCCCCCUGGGCUAACACUGACGCUCAGGCACGAAAGCGUGGGGAGCAAACAGG